AUGCUCAUCUCUUGGAUAAUUUGGAAUGAAAGAAAUGCACGAGUUUUUCGACACAAGAGCACUCCUUGUAUGAUCCUUAUUCAAAGUAUUAAGGCGGAGGUGUCACUAUGGCUGUCCGCGGGUGCAAAACAAUUGGGCUUAAUUAUGCCGCGAGAGUAG
rnacentral:rRNA from 1 species